AUGUACACUGUUGAUGGAUCACGGUUCGAGGUCCCUUUGGUGUACCUUGGCACAAUGGUCUUCGGUGAGCUCCUGAGGAUGUCUCAAGAGGAAUUUGGCUUCUCUAGUGAUGGCAAGAUCAAAUUACCUUUUGAUGCCUCUGUGAUGGCCUAUGUGAUGUGUUUGAUUAGGAGAGAGGCCUCUGAAGAGGUUGAGAAGGCGUUCCUGAGCUCCAUAGCAAGGCCUUGCCACAGUGCGAGUUAUGUGGCUUCAGUGAAACUUAAUCAGCAAUUUGCUGUUUGUAGCUAG
rnacentral:rRNA from 1 species